rnacentral:rRNA from 1 species
UACGGAGGGUGCAAGCGUUAUCCGGAUUCACUGGGUUUAAAGGGUGCGUAGGUGGGCAGGUAAGUCAGUGGUGAAAUCUCCGAGCUUAACUCGGAAACUGCCGUUGAUACUAUUUGUCUUGAAUAUUGUGGAGGUAAGCGGAAUAUGUCAUGUAGCGGUGAAAUGCUUAGAUAUGACAUAGAACACCAAUUGCGAAGGCAGCUUACUACACAACGAUUGACGCUGAGGCACGAAAGCGUGGGGAUCAAAUAGG